rnacentral:piRNA from 1 species
UACAGCGGAAAGAGACAGUCAGCCACAAAC